rnacentral:lncRNA from 1 species
AUCAAAAGAAAGUCUUCAGUAAUCCCUCUAUGCUGUCUGAUUGCAGACUGCCUGGUAACAAGCAUUGAGGAAGUGAAUAUAUAGGAGAAUUUUGAAUAAGGAUGAGGGCUAAACCAUAAAAGGAAGUUUAUCCUGCAACCUCACAGUUUCCUAUUUUAUUGAACCUUUCCUUAAAAUGGGAUCCUCUACAGAGUGAAAUAAAAGCAGAGACAGAUUGCAACACAGACAGACUCUGGAAGAGAUUUUAUACAAAAGGAGGAUUUCAUGUAGCAGAGAGGAACAUGGAGGUUGCUGCUGAUGGCAGAAGCUGCUGCGAAGUCAGAAAAGAUUUGGAGAUUUGGGCAGCAUGGCAUGAAGCUCUCCAUCAGGACUGGAGUGGAAUCCAAAACCUGAACACAGGUCUCAAGCACCCUGAACUCUGAGAGAGCUCAGA